rnacentral:rRNA from 1 species
GACGAACGCUGGCGGCGUGCUUAACACAUGCAAGUCGAACGUGAUUUUUGUGGAAAUUCUUUCGGGAAUGGAAAUGAAAUGAAAGUGGCGAACGGGUGAGUAACACGUGAGCAACCUACCUUACACAGGGGGAUAGCCGUUGGAAACGACGAUUAAUACCGCAUGAGACCACAGAAUCGCAUGAUAUAGGGGUCAAAGAUUUAUCGGUGUAAGAAGGGCUCGCGUCUGAUUAGCUAGUUGGAAGGGUAAAGGCCUACCAAGGCGACGAUCAGUAGCCGGUCUGAGAGGAUGAACGGCCACAUUGGAAACUGAGACACGGUCCAAACUCCUACGGGAGGCAGCAGUGGGGAAUAUUGCACAAUGGGGGGAAACCCCUGAUGCAGGCGAACGCCCGCGUGAG